rnacentral:rRNA from 1 species
AUGUGGUUUAAUUCGAUGAUACGCGAAGAACCUUACCUGGGUGUUGACAUGUGCAGAGAAAGUUUUCCGAAAGGAGAACCCUUUAAUAAUUUAUUAUUAAACUCUGUCACAGGUGAUGCAUGGCUGUCGUCAGCUCGUGUCGUGAGAUGUUAGGUUAAGUCCUGCAACGAGCGCAACCCCUAUAUUUAGUUGCCAGCACAUAAUGGUGGGGACUCUAAAUAGACUGCCCGGAAUAACCGGGAGGAAGGUGGGGAU